rnacentral:rRNA from 1 species
GAGGAGCAGGCGGUAGAGGGCCUCCCCAACGACCUUGUCUGGGAGUUCCUGUCGAGGGUGCCGUACCAGUCGCUGUGCCGCUCAAAGUGUGUGUCGACGGCGUGGCUCGCACUGUGUUCCGACCCCGCCGUCCGUCGGAGAUCGCCGCAGACGCUCUCCGGUUUCUUUGGCCUCUCCCACAGCGGCAGCAACCGUUUCGUCAACCUUUCCGGCAGAGGCCGGCCGCUGGUCGACCCUUCUCUCCCUUACCUGCACGGCUUCGAAAGCGUAAUGCUCCUAAACUGCUGCAGCGGCAUCCUUCUCUGCCACGGUAUGCGAGCAGACGGCGCGCAAUACAUUGUGUGCAACCCUGCGACCGAGGAGAUCUGGGCCGUGAUACCCGCGCCUGAUAGGCAUGAGACACCACACCCUCUUGUUUACCGCACCAUCUGCUUGUGUUUCGACCCGGUCGUCCCCUCUCGCUUCGCGGUGUUUGUAAUCAUUGAUAAUGAUCGCGACAUUACCAUUAUGGAGGUCUACUCGUCGGAUACCGGAGAAUGGACUUCCAUGUCGAGCCCAUGGGGUCACCGAAUUGUGUUGUAUAACUAUGAACCAGGGUACUUCUUCUUAAAUGGUACUCUGCAUUCCGAUGCCUAUGAUUCUCGCGUGGAGACAUUUGACUCGAAUGGUAAAUCAAUAAAUAUGGUGGUUACGGUGGACACGGGCGGGAAUACUUGGAGGACAACUCCACAACCGCCUAUAGCUCAAUUUACUUCCAUUGGGUUCUCUCAGGGACGCUUACAUGGUAUUGAGAUGGAAGAUGGUGGUGGUUACCGGAUAUCAGUCUGGAUUCUCGAGGAUUAUGCUAGUGGGCAAUGGACCUUAAAGCACACAACCAGUAUGCAGGAGCUACUAGGAAGGCCUUGUAUAAAUAACAAAGAGUGCUACGCCUUUGUUGCACUCCAUCCAGAACGUAACCUGAUUUUUCUUAAUGGUGGGGUGGAACCGGAACAUACACUUAUGUCGUAUGAUAUGGAUACCCAGAAGUUGCAUGUUAUCUGCAAUCUUGAAGAUUAUGAGAUGCAAGAUUUUCGACCUUACAUUCCCUGCUUUGUGGAA